ensembl:snRNA U6 U6 spliceosomal RNA
ACGCUCACUUUGGCAACAUUUAUACUAAAAUUGGAACCAUACAGAAAAGAUUAGCACGCCUUUGCACAAAGAUCACAUGCAAAUUCAUGAAGCGUUCCAUAUUUUU